rnacentral:rRNA from 1 species
AGUUUGAUCCUGGCUCAGAUUGAACGCUGGCGGUAUGCCUUACACAUGCAAGUCGAACGGUAGAGGAGCAAUCCUCGAGAGUGGCGAACGGGUGAGUAAUACAUCGGAACGUGCCCAGUCGUGGGGGAUAACGUAGCGAAAGCUACGCUAAUACCGCAUACGACCCGAGGGUGAAAGCGGGGGACUCGCAAGAGCCUCGCGCGAUUGGAGCGGCCGAUGGCAGAUUAGGUAGUUGGUGGGGUAAAGGCCCACCAAGCCUGCGAUCUGUAGCUGGUCUGAGAGGACGACCAGCCACACCGGGACUGAGACACGGCCCAGACUCCUACGGGAGGCAGCAGUGGGGAAUUUUGGACAAUGGGCGAAAGCCUGAUCCAGCCAUACCGCGUGCGGGAAGAAGGCCUUCGGGUUGUAAACCGCUUUUGUCAGGGAAGAAAUACUUCGGGCUAAUACCCUGGGGUGAUGACGGUACCUGAAGAAUAAGCACCGGCUAACUACGUGCCAGCAGCCGCGGUAAUACGUAGGGUGCAAGCGUUAAUCGGAAUUACUGGGCGUAAAGCGUGCGCAGGCGGUUCUAUAAGACAGAUGUGAAAUCCCCGGGCUCAACCUGGGAACUGCAUUUGUGACUGUAGAGCUAGAGUACGG